UCCAAAAUGGUCUAGUGGCUAGGAUUUGCCGCUCUCAUCAGAGCAACUGUAGUGCCGGCAAGGCCGGGGUUCGAUUCCCCGUUUUGGAA